AGAAUCAACGCUGGCGGCGUGCCUAACACAUGCAAGUCGAACGAGAAAGUGGAGCAAUCCAUGAGUAAAGUGGUGCACGGGUGAGUAACACGUGACUAACCUACCCUUGAGUGGGGGAUAACCUAGGGAAACCUGGGCUAAUACCGCAUAAUACCUUCGGGUCAAAGGAGCAAUUCGCUUAAGGAGGGGGUCGCGGCCGAUUAGUUAGUUGGCGGGGUAAUGGCCCACCAAGACUGUGAUCGGUAU
rnacentral:rRNA from 1 species